rnacentral:rRNA from 1 species
CUCAGGACGAACGCUGGCGGCGUGCCUAAUACAUGCAAGUCGAACGCUUCUUUUUCCACCGGAGCUUGCUCCACCGGAAAAAGAGGAGUGGCGAACGGGUGAGUAACACGUGGGUAACCUGCCCAUCAGAAGGGGAUAACACUUGGAAACAGGUGCUAAUACCGUAUAACAAUCAAAACCGCAUGGUUUUGAUUUGAAAGGCGCUUUCGGGUGUCGCUGAUGGAUGGACCCGCGGUGCAUUAGCUAGUUGGUGAGGUAACGGCUCACCAAGGCCACGAUGCAUAGCCGACCUGAGAGGGUGAUCGGCCACAUUGGGACUGAGACACGGCCCAAACUCCUACGGGAGGCAGCAGUAGGGAAUCUUCGGCAAUGGACGAAAGUCUGACCGAGCAACGCCGCGUGAGUGAAGAAGGUUUUCGGAUCGUAAAACUCUGUUGUUAGAGAAGAACAAGGAUGAGAGUAACUGUUCAUCCCUUGACGGUAUCUAACCAGAAAGCCACGGCUAACUACGUGCCAGCAGCCGCGGUAAUACGUAGGUGGCAAGCGUUGUCCGGAUUUAUUGGGCGUAAAGCGAGCGCAGGCGGUUUCUUAAGUCUGAUGUGAAAGCCCCCGGCUCAACCGGGGAGGGUCAUUGGAAACUGGGAGACUUGAGUGCAGAAGAGGAGAGUGGAAUUCCAUGUGUAGCGGUGAAAUGCGUAGAUAUAUGGAGGAACACCAGUGGCGAAGGCGGCUCUCUGGUCUGUAACUGACGCUGAGGCUCGAAAGCGUGGGGAGCAAACAGGAUUAGAUACCCUG